rnacentral:rRNA from 1 species
UACAGAGGGUGCGAGCGUUAAUCGGAAUUACUGGGCGUAAAGCGUGCGUAGACGGUUACGUAAGUCGGGUGUGAAAGCCCCGGGCUCAACCUGGGAAUUGCAUUCGAGACUGCGUAGCUAGGAUGCGGAAGAGGGAAGCGGAAUUUCCGGUGUAGCGGUGAAAUGCGUAGAUAUCAGGAGGAACACCGGUGGUGUAGACGGCUUUCUGGACCGUAACUGACGCUGAGACACGAAAGCGUGGGUAGCAAACAGG